rnacentral:rRNA from 1 species
CAGCCGCCACGGUAAUACGUAGGUGGCAAGCGUUGUCCGGAAUUAUUGAGCGUAAAGGGCUCGCAGGCGGUUUCUUAAGUCUGAUGUGAAAGCCCCCGGCUCAACCGGGGAGGGUCAUUGGAAACUGGGAAACUUGAGUGCAGAAGAGGAGAGUGGAAUUCCACGUGUAGCGGUGAAAUGCGUAGAGAUGUGGAGGAACACCAGUGGCGAAGGCGACUCUCUGGUCUGUAACUGACGCUGAGGAGCGAAAGCGUGGGGAGCGAACAGGAUUAGAUACCCCAGUAGUCCCUGUCUCUUAUAC